rnacentral:tRNA from 1 species
UCAGGUAGCUUAAAUAAAGCAUUGUUUUUGUAAACCAAAGAUGGGCCAACCCCCAGAACA